rnacentral:rRNA from 1 species
GACGAACGCUGGCGGCGUGCUUAACACAUGCAAGUCGAACGGAAAGGCCCUGUUUUUGUGGGGUGCUCGAGUGGCGAACGGGUGUGUAUCACGUGAGUAACCUGCCCUUGACUUUGGGAUAACUUCAGGAAACUCGGGCUCAUACCGGAUAGGAGCUCCUGAUGCACGGUGUGGGUGGGUAAGUUUCGGCGUUUGGGGAUGGACUCGCGGCUUAUCAGCUUGUUGGUGGGGUAGUGGCGUACCAAGGCUUUGACGGGUAGCCGGCCUGCGAGGGUGACCGGCCACAUUGGGACUGAGAUAGGGGCCAGAGGCCUACGUGAGGCAGCGGUGGGAGUUUUUGCGCGAUGCGCGGAGGCCGGAUGGAGCGACGUCGCGUGCGGGAUGACGGCCUUCGGGGUGUAAACCGCUUUCGCCUGGGACGAAGCGUAAGUGACGGUAAUGGGUAAAAAAGCACCGGCUAACUACGUG